rnacentral:tRNA from 1 species
GGAGAGGUGGCAGAGUGGCCGAAUGCGGCGGUUUGCUAAACCGUUGUACUGGCUAAUACCGGUACCGAGGGUUCGAAUCCCUCCCUCUCCGCCA